rnacentral:rRNA from 1 species
AUUGAACGCUGGCGGAAUGCUUUACACAUGCAAGUCGAACGGCAGCACGGGUGCUUGCACCUGGUGGCGAGUGGCGAACGGGUGAGUAAUACAUCGGAACGUACCCAGUCGUGGGGGAUAACGUAGCGAAAGUUACGCUAAUACCGCAUACGUCCUGAGGGAGAAAGCGGGGGACCGUAAGGCCUCUCGCGAUUGGAGCGGCCGAUGGCGGAUUAGCUAGUUGGUGGGGUAAAGGCCUACCAAGGCGACGACCCGUAACUGGUCUGAGAGGAGGAUCAGUAACAACGGAACUGAGAGCGGGUGCUGACUCCUACGGGAGGAAGCAGGGGUGAAUAUUGGACAAUGGGGGAAACCCUGAACCAGCCAUGCCGCGUGUGUGAAGAAGGCCUUCGGGUUGUAAAGCACUUUAGGUCGGGAGGAAGGUUCGCUGGCUAAUAUCCAGCGGAAUUGACGUUACCGACAGAAUAAGCACCGGCUAUCUCCGUGCCAGCAGCCGCCGUAA